GUUGAAGAGGAAGAGAACAAGCCUCAACACAGUGAAAUGGAAAUGCCACUGGACGGAUUUGGAGAAAAACUACCUGAAGAUAACAUGACUGUCAAUUUUAAUAAGCUGCCAUUUAAUGUAAAGGAUCAUCAUGGCAAUGAAAGUGAGGAGAAUAAAAUCCCUGCGGAAGAAACUCCAAAACUGACUGUUCCUUCUUCCAAGGAAUCUUCAAUACCUGUGCUCCAUCGUUUCAUAAGGUAAGUUUCUGAAAAUCAUUCAAUGGAAUAUUUCACAGUAAGGUCACUUUGCUCUGAAAAUGUGGUUUCAGAUUCAUUCUACAUUAAUGUCAGACUUGGCUGCUUUUUACUUGUUUGUUUUUUGCCAAGAAAGAAAUAUAAACCCAAGUAUGCUCCUUAUGUAUACACAUAUACACACAAUCAUAUGAAUGUAUAAAUGACCAUCAGUUUGUUCUAUUGUGGAACUUGUUGAGCAGCAGCUAUCAAUAACUCAGUUGAAAGUCUUCCUGCUCAGUGAAUGUCUACAUCAAUCUGUUCUGCCUCACAAAUAAAUGAAUUUUGUAUUUUUAGAAGCCCAGACAAAUUUGAUGAAAUAAGAUGACAUUCUUGGUUUCUACUCAGCUAUGUUUCCUAAAACAAGCACUUUGCAUCUAGGUUCCCACUGAAAAAAGAGAAAGAAAAGCAAUCGAAAGCAGGUAUGCCUCUUAAAACAAUCAGAGAACAAAUAAGAAGAAAAGAAAAAUUAUCCAGUAAAGAAGUGGAGAAGAAACAGUCAUUGGAAGUGCCUGAACAAUCUCAGACCACAAAACUAAGACUGGGAGAAAAUAAUUUGACACAGGUUGAAGAGGAAGAGAACAAGCCUCAACACAGUGAAAUGGAAACACCACUGGACGGAUUUGGAGAAAAACUACCUGAAGAUAACAUGACUGUCAAUUUUAAUAAGCUGCCAUUUAAUGUAAAGGAUCAUCAUGGCAAUGAAAGUGAGGAGAAUAAAAUCCCUGUGGAAGAAACUCCAAAACUGACUGUUCCUUCUUCCAAGGAAUCUUCAAUACCUGUGCUCCAUCGUUUCAUAAGGUUCCCACUGAAAAAAGAGAAAGAAAAGCAAUCGAGAGCAGGUAUGCCUCUUAAAACAAUCAGAGAACAAAUAAGAAGAAAAGAAAAAUUAUCCAGUAAAGAAGUGGAGAAGAAACAGUCAUUGGAAGAGCCUGAACAAUCUCAGACCACAAAACUAAGACUGGGAGAAAAUAAUUUGACACAGGUUGAAGAGCAAAAGAACAAGCCUCAACACAGUGAAAUGGAAAUUCCAGUGGAAGAAAUUGCAGAAAAAUUACCUGAAGAUAACAUGACUGUCAAUUUUAAUAAGCUGCCAUUUGAUGUAGAGGAUCAUCAUGGCAAUGAAAUUGAGGAGAAUAAAAUCCCUGUGGAAGAAACUCCAAAACUGACUGUUCCUUCUUCCAAGGAAUCUUCAAUACCUGUGCUCCAUCGUUUCAUAAGGUUCCCACUGAAAAAAGAGAAAGAAAAGCAAUCGAGAGCAGGUAUGCCUCUUAAAACAAUCAGAGAACAAAUAAGAAGAAAAGAAAAAUUAUCCAGUAAAGAAGUGGAGAAGAAACAGUCAUUGGAAGUGGCUGAACAAUCUCAGACCACAAAACUAAGACUGGGAGAAAAUAAUUUGACACAGGUGAAUUGGAAAAUUAUAGUCAGUAUUUCCAUCUUUGCUUGAUAGAGAAUAUGAAUUGGUUUCCUGGGUGUGAGCAGCUGAAAGCUUGGAAGGCUUUUAUUCCUGCUACAAAAGUUCAGUGGCUGUUAGGUGGAGUCUAAUUCAGUUGGGCUCAAUGCUACAUGAAUGUAGGUUCAUGUAUAUAUCAAGAAAUAUAAAGGCGUCUCUAUUUUUAACAUUUGAGUGCACUAUUGCAAGGUCACUAACCAUGGAGAACAUAAGAUGACAUGCAUUUGCUGUCACAAUUAGAGGAGAAUAAGAAAUGAAAGGUAUGAAAAUAGACAAUGAGGAGACCAAGUUAUCCCUCUUUGCAGAUGAUCUGAUGGUCCACUUAAUUAAUCCUAGAGAAUCAACUAAGAAACUAGUGGGAUAAAUCAUUGAUGCAAACAAAGUUGACGGAUAUAAAAUAAACCCACAUAAAUCAUCA
ensembl:lncRNA